rnacentral:rRNA from 1 species
CAGUCGCCGCGGGAAUACGUAGGGUGCGAGCGUUAAUCGGAAUUACUGGGCGUAAAGCGUGCGCAGGCGGUUGUGUAAGACAGGUGUGAAAUCCCCGGGCUUAACCUGGGAACUGCGCUUGUGACUGCACAGCUAGAGUAUGGCAGAGGGGGGUGGAAUUCCACGUGUAGCAGUGAAGUGCGUAGAGAUGUGGAGGAACACCGAUGGCGAAGGCAGCCCCCUGGGCCAAUACUGACGCUCAUGCACGAAAGCGUGGGGAGCAAACAGGAUUAGAUACCCCGGUAGUCCCUGUCUCUUAUAA